CGUCGACGUUGGCAAUCACGUGUUUUUUUUCAACUUGCAAAACUAAAAACCUUUUCGUCGUGUAGAAAUAAUCAGUAUUUUUAUACAUUAUAACUUCACAUAAAAUAUAUGAAAUUGCGAUAAAAUUAACAACCAAUAUGUGGCAAAACGUUAUUGCACUUGAAACAUACAGAUUUCUUGUUUCACAACUUUGAAAGAGCACUUGAACAAAAACUGAAUUAGAAUUUCACGUCAUCUAUAUGUGGACAUCAUUUAGUUUUCUGUUUUCAGAACAAAUUUAUGUCAUAUCUUGGGAUAAAUAAGAAAAUAUUAAGCUUUAUUUGUGCUUGGAGCAUUAUGUUUCUAAACGAGCCGCUUUUUGUUUUCGUCGCUUUCAUUGGAAUCACAUGGUAUCCCGGCGCCAGCGACGUCCAAGCCAACAUGGCUCCGGCAGGUUACCCCCAAGCCGCCUCAUACGGUGCUGCACAGCAGAUGGUCGCCCCGCAAGCGCAGCAAGGUUACAACCAGUACAUGCAACCUGAUCCUUACAACCAAUAUUCCCAAGCACACGCUCAGGCACAAGCCCAUCCUGCUUACGGUGGAUAUAACAUGCAGCAGCCAUCGUAUGGUCAUCAAUAUAUGCAGCAAUGGCCCCAGCCUCAGUCUUACCCCAAUCCAUACAUGAGUAAUUUAGGACAAUUGGGGAGCCAAGUUAUGCCCCAAAUGCAACAAGCAGGGUAUCCGGGCUUCAACUCUUUAAUGCAACAAGGCGCAGGGUUCAUGCAACCGGGUGGAACUUUCGGGAACCUUGCAAAUCUUUUUGCAGAUUUAGGAAAACCUCAGGCCAACAGAUCGCAAAUGAGCGUCAUUAAUAUGGGGCAAAAACCGAAUAAAAGAAAUUAAUCGUAUUAAAAAAUGAAAGUGAUCGCUGAAAGAGAUAGGAAAUUUUAAUGUUAAAUGUUUUUAUAGACAUUUGUGUAUAUAAUAAAAUAGUUAUAUAAUAUAAAUUAUUUGUAAUGUCA